rnacentral:rRNA from 1 species
UGGGGAAUUUUGGACAAUGGGCGAAAGCCUGAUCCAGCAAUGCCGCGUGUGUGAAGAAGGCCUUCGGGUUGUAAAGCACUUUUGUCCGGAAAGAAAUCCUUGGCUCUAAUACAGUCGGGGGAUGACGGUACCGGAAGAAUAAGCACCGGCUAACUACGUGCCAGCAGCCGCGGUAAUACGUAGGGUGCAAGCGUUAAUCGGAAUUACUGGGCGUAAAGCGUGCGCAGGCGGUUUGCUAAGACCGAUGUGAAAUCCCCGGGCUCAACCUGGGAACUGCAUUGGUGACUGGCAGGCUAGAGUAUGGCAGAGGGGGGUAGAAUUCCACGUGUAGCAGUGAAAUGCGUAGAGAUGUGGAGGAAUACCGAUGGCGAAGGCAGCCCCCUGGGCCAAUACUGACGCUCAUGCACGAAAGCGUGGGGAGCAAACAGGAUUAGAUACCCUGGUAGUCCACGCCCUAAACGAUGUCAACUAGUUGUUGGGGAUUCAUUUCCUUAGUAACGUAGCUAACGCGUGAAGUUGACCGCCUGGGGAGUACGGUCGCAAGAUUAAAACUUAAAGGAAUUGACGGGGUCAUAGCUUUCC